AAGCGUUAAUCGGAAUUACUGGGCGUAAAGCGUGCGCAGGCGGUUCGGAAAGAAAGAUGUGAAAUCCCAGAGCUUAACUUUGGAACUGCAUUUUUAACUACCGGGCCAGAGUGUGUCAGAGGGAGGUGGAAUUCCGCGUGUAGCAGUGAAAUGCGUAGAUAUGCGGAGGAACACCGAUGGCGAAGGCAGCCUCCUGGGAUAACACUGACGCUCAUGCACGAAAGCGUGGGGAGCAAACAGGAUUAGAUACCCUGGUAGUCCACGCCCUAAACGAUGUCAACUAGCUGUUGGGGCCUUCGGGCCUUGGUAGCGCA
rnacentral:rRNA from 1 species